AAGUCUCCAGGAACCAUCUAAGGAUCUUUGAUUGUCCGAUUUUUACAUCAUCACUGAAAGAAAAGAAAGCCUUGUGGUUAUCAUAGGAACUGUCUCAUAUACCACAAAAAUCUACCAGCAAUAUAGGUAAUCCAUCCUUAAAUUAUAUCACCAGAAAUCUUUAAGAGUUCAUCUUCUGAUGCCAAAUGUGGCCCACUCCAGUUCUACAAGCAAAUCUGACAGAAGAGAGCACCUGUGUCCACCAGCUCACACAUACAAGAGUAUGAGGUUUUGGCUGGUUUUGCUUUUGAGGCAGGGUCUUGCUCUGCAGCUCAGGAUGUCCUUAAAUUUGCAAUCCUCCUGCCUCAGCCUGGAAUUAUAGGCAUAUGCUUCUAUACCAAACUUAUAACAAUGUUUCCUCCUGGUGGCUAAGGCUGUUUGUGUCCCUGGUUUGGGGCCAGUGAGACUUGACAAGGAACACUGAUGGGAAA
rnacentral:lncRNA from 1 species